GGCAGCAGUGGGGAAUUUUGGACAAUGGGCGCAAGCCUGAUCCAGCCAUGCCGCGUGCGGGAAGAAGGCCUUCGGUUGUAAACCGCUUUGUCAGGGAAGAAAUCUUCUGGGUUAAUACCUCGGGAGGAUGACGGUACCUGAAGAAUAAGCACCGGCUAACUACGUGCCAGCAGCCGCGGUAAUACGUAGGGUGCGAGCGUUAAUCGGAAUUACUGGGCGUAAAGCGUGCGCAGGCGGUCUUGCAAGACAGGUGUGAAAUCCCCGGGCUUAACCUGGGAACUGCACUUGUGACUGCAAGGCUGGAGUACGGCAGAGGGGGAUGGAAUUCCGCGUGUAGCAGUGAAAUGCGUAGAUAUGCGGAGGAACACCGAUGGCGAAGGCAAUCCCCCUGGGCCUGUACUGACGCUCAUGCACGAAAGCGUGGGGAGCAAAACAGGAUUAGAUACCCUGGUAGUCCACGCCCUAAACGAUGUCAACUGGUUGUUGGACGGCUUGCUGUUCAGUAACGAAGCUAACGCGUGAAGUU
rnacentral:rRNA from 1 species